rnacentral:piRNA from 1 species
UCUGAGGGAAGACUGUCCUGCCUC